AGUGUAGUGACUUUAUGCUUCUUACAAUCAGGUAUAUUUUGAAAUAGUGGAGGGCUCAAACAUCACGGCAGAAAAACUAUGCAAGUACUUGCAAGAACAUGGCGUGCUUAUGAUGCCAGAGAGCUCGUCGAGGAUUAGAGUUGUGCUCCACCACCAAAUAUCAGGUACUGAUGUGCAGUAUACAUUGUCAUGCAUUCAGCAAGCUGUAACUGGAGUCCAUGAUUGCAACGGCGACUUGAAAGAAAUUUCUGUCUAAAAUGAUUUAGUGUUUGUGUAUGCCAUGCUCUAAAUUUCAAGGACAUAAAACUUACUGAAUCACCCUUGAGUCUCUCUGAGUGAGACUUUUUCAGUAAGAAACUGCAUUGUAUGUUGAAUGUUUUAGAAUAAUUAUGGUUUGCCUGGUUUUGGCUUUUGUUACUGUGAAACUGAAUGAAAUGUCGAAUGCUGCUUCUACA